rnacentral:rRNA from 1 species
AUUGCCUCAGUAACGGCGAGUGAAGCGGCAACAGCUCAAAUUUGAAAUCUGGCCUCUUUGGGGUCCGAGUUGUAAUUUGUAGAGGAUGUUUCGGGCACCGCUCCGGUUUAAAUUUCUUGGAACAGAAUGUCAAAGAGGGUGAGAACCCCGUCUUGGACCGGCAGUAGGGCCCAUGUGAAACUCCUUCGACGAGUCGAGUUGUUUGGGAAUGCAGCUCAAAAUGGGUGGUAAAUUUCAUCUAAAGCUAAAUAUUGGCCAGAGACCGAUAGCGCACAAGUAGAGUGAUCGAAAGAUGAAAAGCACUUUGAAAAGAGAGUUAAACAGUACGUGAAAUUGUUGAAAGGGAAGCGCUUGCAACCAGACUUGCGCGCGGCGGUUCCCCCUUCCUUUUGGUUGGGUUAUUCCGCCGUGUCCAGGCCAACAUCGGUUCUGGGGGUCGGUUAAAGGCCUGGGGAAUGUAUCUACCCUUCGGGCGUAGACUUAUAGCCCCGGGUGUCAUGCGACCUCCCGGGACCGAGGAACGCGCUUCGGCUCGGAUGUUGGCGUAAUGGUUGUCAGCGACCCGUCUUGAAACACGGACCAAGGAGUCUAACAUCUAUGCGAGUGUUUGGGUGUCAAACCCGGAACGCGGAAUGAAAGUGAACGGAGGUAGGAAGCUUCGGCUGCACUAUCGACCGAUCCUGAUGUCUUCGGAUGGAUUUGAGUAAGAGCAUAGCUGUUGGGACCCGAAAGAUGGUGAACUAUGCCUGAAUAGGGUGAAGCCAGAGGAAACUCUGGUGGAGGCUCGCAGCGGUUCUGACGUGCAAAUCGAUCGUCAAUUUGGGUAUAGGGGCGAAAGACUAAUCGAACCAUUAAAAGUUACCGGGUGGGUAAAGUGUACCCGUGGAAAGCGGUUGCAAGUG